rnacentral:sRNA from 1 species
AAGUGAUGCAGGAUACGGGUCAGU